UGGGGAAUAUUGGGCAAUGGGGGAAACCCUGACCCAGCGACGCCGCGUGAAGGAAGACGGCCUUCGGGUUGUAAACUUCUUUUGUAUGGGAAGAAGAAUGUGACGGUACCAUACGAAUAAGUCCCGGCUAACUACGUGCCAGCAGCCGCGGUAAUACGUAGGGGACGAGCGUUGUCCGGAAUUACUGGGCGUAAAGGGCGCGCAGGCUGUUUGAUAAGUCAGCUGUUAAAUGUUAGGGCUUAACCCUUACCAGCGGUUGAAACUAUCAGACUGGAGUGCGGUAGAGGCAAGUGGAAUUCCCAGUGUAGCGGUGAAAUGCGUAGAUAUUGGGAAGAACACCGGUGGCGAAGGCGACUUGCUGGGCAGCAACUGACGCUGAGGCGCGAAAGCCAGGGGAGCAAACG
rnacentral:rRNA from 1 species